UCACAAGAAUACGAUGCCAAUCGCUCAGUCGAGACCACCGAUUACCGGCGCUGACGAUCAUGCAAUAACCCUCUGAAAUUUUAAAAGCGUGUUCCUUGAAAGGCUUACACAAUUGGUUAGUGCGGCUAAACAAACAACAUGUUUACUCGACCCGCUUCCAGCCAAACUAUUUAAAGAAUUAUUUCAAAUUUUAGGA